rnacentral:rRNA from 1 species
AUUGAACGCUGGCGGCAGGCCUAACACAUGCAAGUCGAGCGGCAGCGGAAAGUAGCUUACUACUUUGCCGGCGAGCGGCGGACGGGUGAGUAAUGUCUGGGAAACUGCCUGAUGGAGGGGGAUAACUACUGGAAACGGUAGCUAAUACCGCAUAACGUCGCAAGACCAAAGAGGGGGACCUUCGGGCCUCUUGCCGUCAGAUGUGCCCAGAUGGGAUUAGCUAGUAGGUGGGGUAACGGCUCACCUAGGCGACGAUCCCUAGCUGGUCUGAGAGGAUGACCAGCCACACUGGAACUGAGACACGGUCCAGACUCCUACGGGAGGCAGCAGUGGGGAAUAUUGCACAAUGGGCGCAAGCCUGAUGCAGCCAUGCCGCGUGUAUGAAGAAGGCCUUCGGGUUGUAAAGUACUUUCAGCGGGGAGGAAGGUGUUGUGGUUAAUAACCACAGCAAUUGACGUUACCCGCAGAAGAAGCACCGGCUAACUCCGUGCCAGCCGCCGCGGUAA